AGGGGGAGAGAGCCAGACAGAGAGACUGACUAAACAGUUCUUUCAUAGCAAGCCUGGCUUGGACCUGAAUGUUGCUUGGUGACUGUUGGGCAGAGCCUAGAAGAAAUGCUAAAACUAGAAACAACUUUGAUCUCUGUCACUGCACUUAUGUAAACGAAACAACCAGUCUUGACAGGUUAGUGCUGCUUCGUCCCCAUCGGAGAAAAUUCUUUGCACAGUGGCCAACAGUCAUUACAGAGACUCACACUGAUCCAGGUGCGGAGAACAAGUAUCAGUGACGUGCUCACUCAUACAUGGAACAUCUUUGUAAUACACCCUCCCCCCCCCCCCCCAAGACUCAGUUCUCUGGAACAAGAAGAGGCAAAAGGACUGUAAGAGCCAGAGGUUGGAGAAGAUGAGGGUGAAAGUAUGUCCUGGACAUGACAGGCCAUGACCUGCAUAAGAUCCAGCUAGUGGACUUUCCAGCACAGCUGGCACAAGUAUAGGAGCUCCUACCCCUAGCUGAGGAUCGACUGACUACUGAGG
rnacentral:lncRNA from 1 species